rnacentral:rRNA from 1 species
GAUGAACGCUGGCGGCGUGCCUAAUACAUGCAAGUCGAGCGAACGGACGAGAAGCUUGCUUCUCUGAUGUUAGCGGCGGACGGGUGAGUAACACGUGGAUAACCUACCUAUAAGACUGGGAUAACUUCGGGAAACCGGCGCUAAUCCCGGAUGAUAUUUUGAACCGCAUGGUUCAAAAGUGAAAGACGGUCUUGCUGUCACUUAUAGAUGGAUCCGCGCUGCAUUAGCUAGUUGGUAAGGUAACGGCUUACCAAGGCAACGAUGCAUAGCCGACCUGAGAGGGGGAUCGGCCACACUGGAACUGAGACACGGUCCAGACUCCUACGGGAGGCAGCAGUAGGGAAUCUUCCGCAGUGGGCGAAAGCCUGACGGAGCAACGCCGCGUGAGUGAUGAAGGUCUUCGGAUCGUAAAACUCUGUUAUGAGGGAAGAACAUAUGUGUAAGUAACUGUGCACAUCGUGACGGUACCGAAUCAGAAAGCCACGGCUAACUACGUG